rnacentral:rRNA from 1 species
CUUUGGGUGUGACUGCGUACCUUUUGUAUAAUGGGUCAGCGACUUAUAUUCUGUAGCAAGGUUAACCGAAUAGGGGAGCCGGAGGGAAACCGAGUCUUAACCGGGCGUUAAGUUGCAGGGUAUAGACCCGAAACCCGGUGAUCUAGCCAUGGGCAGGUUGAAGGUUGGGUAACACUAACUGGAGGACCGAACCGACUAAUGUUGAAAAAUUAGCGGAUGACCUGUGGCUGGGGGUGAAAGGCCAAUCAAACCGGGAGAUAGCUGGUUCUCCCCGAAAGCUAUUUAGGUAGCGCCUCGUGAAUUCAUCUCCGGGGGUAGAGCACUGUUUCGGCUAGGGGGCCAUCCCGGCUUACCAACCCGAUGCAAACUGCGAAUACCGGAGAAUGUUAUCACGGGAGACACACGGCGGGUGCUAACGUCCGUCGUGAAGAGGGAAACAACCCAGACCGCCAGCUAAGGUCCCAAAGUCAUGGUUAAGUGGGAAACGAUGUGGGAAGGCCCAGACAGCCAGGAUGUUGGCUUAGAAGCAGCCAUCAUUUAAAGAAAGCGUAAUAGCUCACUGGUCGAGUCGGCCUGCGCGGAAGAUGUAACGGGGCUAAACCAUGCACCGAAGCUGCGGCAGCGACACUGUGUGUUGUUGGGUAGGGGAGCGUUCUGUAAGCCUGUGAAGGUGUGUCGUGAGG